GCAAGUCGAGGGGUAACAGGUAUAAAGCUUGCUCUAUAUCUGACGACCGGCGCACGGGUGAGUAACACGUAUGCAACCUACCUUUUACAGCAGAAUAACCCAGAGAAAUUUGGACUAAUACUCCAUGACAUCUGUUAAUCGCAUGAUUGACAAAUAAAAACGCCUACGGUAAAAGAUGGGUAUGCGUCCUAUUAGUUAGUUGGUGAGGUAACGGCAUACCAAGGCGAUGAUAGGUAGGGGUUCUGAGAGGAGAAUC
rnacentral:rRNA from 1 species